rnacentral:rRNA from 1 species
AACGAACGCUGGCGGCAUGCCUAACACAUGCAAGUCGAACGAAGCCUUCGGGCUUAGUGGCGCACGGGUGCGUAACGCGUGGGAAUCUGCCCUUGGGUUCGGAAUAACAGUUAGAAAUGACUGCUAAUACCGCAUAAUGUCGUAAGACCAAAGAUUUAUCGCCCAAGGAUGAGCCCGCGUAAGAUUAGCUAGUUGGUGGGGUAAAAGCCUACCAAGGCGACGAUCUUUAGCUGGUCUGAGAGGAUGAUCAGCCACACUGGGACUGAGACACGGCCCAGACUCCUACGGGAGGCAGCAGUGGGGAAUAUUGGACAAUGGGCGAAAGCCUGAUCCAGCAAUGCCGCGUGAGUGAUGAAGGCCCUAGGGUUGUAAAGCUCUUUUACCAGGGAUGAUAAUGACAGUACCUGGAGAAUAAGCUCCGGCUAACUCCGUGCCAGCAGCCGCGGU